UACGAAGGGGGCUAGCGUUGCUCGGAAUCACUGGGCGUAAAGCGCACGUAGGCGGCUUUUUAAGUCAGGGGUGAAAUCCUGGAGCUCAACUCCAGAACUGCCUUCGAUACUGAGAGUCUCGAGUCCGGGAGAGGUGAGUGGAACUGCGAGUGUAGAGGUGAAAUUCGUAGAUAUUCGCAAGAACACCAGUGGCGAAGGCGGCUCACUGGCCCGGUACUGACGCUGAGGUGCGAAAGCGUGGGGAGCAAACAGG
rnacentral:rRNA from 1 species